rnacentral:rRNA from 1 species
UACGGGGGGGGGCAAGCGUUUGUUCGGAAUUACUGGGCGUAAAGGGUUUGUAGGUGGCUUGCUAAGUCAGACGUGAAAUCCCUCAGCUUAACUGGGGAACUGCGUCUGAGACUGGGAGCUUGAGUGCAGGAGAGGAACGCGGAAUUCCAGGUGUAGCGGUGAAAUGCGUAGAUAUCUGGAGGAACACCGGUGGCGAAGGCGGCUCUCUGGGACGGUACUGACGCUGAGACGCGAAAGCGUGGGGAGCGAACAGG